GACGAACGCUGGCGGCGUGCUUAACACAUGCAAGUCGAACGUGAUUUUUGUGGAAAUUCUUUCGGGAAUGGAAGUAAAAUGAAAGUGGCGAACGGGUGAGUAACACGUGAGCAACCUACCUUACACAGGGGGAUAGCCGUUGGAAACGACGAUUAAUACCGCAUGAGACCACAGUAUCGCAUGAUAUAGGGGUCAAAGAUUUAUCGGUGUAAGAUGGGCUCGCGUCUGAUUAGCUAGUUGGAAGGGUAAAGGCCUACCAAGGCGACGAUCAGUAGCCGGUCUGAGAGGAUGAACGGCCACAUUGGAACUGAGACACGGUCCAAACUCCUACGGGAGGCAGCAGUGGGGAAUAUUGCACAAUGGGGGGAACCCUGAUGCGGCGACGCCGCGUGAGCGAAGAAGGUUUUCGAAUCGUAAAGCUCUGUCCUAUGAGAAGAUAAUGACGGUAUCAUAGGAGGAAGCCCC
rnacentral:rRNA from 1 species